rnacentral:lncRNA from 7 species
UGUGGGGUUGUCAUGGCAUUGUUGUGGGGUUGCCAUGGUGAUGGCAUGGCGAUGUCAUGGGGUUGUUGUGGGGUUGUCAUGGUGAUGUCACGGGGUUGCCAUGGGGGUGUUGUGGGGCUGUCCCAGGGAUGCUGUACAGAUUGCAGUUGGUUGUCACCAUGCUGUCACCGGGCUGUCACUGUGAUGUCACCGCGCUGUCACCGUGAUGUCACCGUGAUGUCACCGCGGUUCUGACAGCGCUGUGUCCUUCCAGGUGGCCUUGCAGGCUGUGACCCCCCGCCGAAUCACCCGGCAACAACCGCCCCGCUCGGUCCAUGAGGGCCCCGCUCACAGGUAAGGGACACCCCCCGCCGUCACCGUGACAACCAAGGGGGCUGGAGGACCCAGAUGGGUGGGGCUGGAGGACCCAGAUGGGCAGGGCUGGAGGACCGAGAUAGGUGGGGCUGGAGGACCCGGAUGGGCGGGGCUCGAGGACCGAGAUAGGCGGGGGUGGAGGACCCGGAUGGGUGGGGCUGGAGGACCCAGAUAGGUGGGGCUGGAGGACCCAGAUGGGUGGGGCUGGAGGACCCGGAUAGGUGGGGCUGGAGGACCCAGAUGGGCGGGGCUGGAGGACCCAGAUAGGCGGGGCUGGAGGACCUGGAUGGGCGGGGCUGGAGGACCCAGAUGGGUGGGGCUGGAGGACCCAGAUAGGUGGGGCUGGAGGACCCAGAUGGGUGGGGCUGGAGGACCCAGGUGGGCGGGGCUGGAGGACCCAGAAGCGUGCAUGUCCCCAAAACGGUGACAGCAAAGCGGUGCCCCAAAGUGAUGUCCCCAUGGCGGUGUCCCCAUAACCCCCAUGUGUCCCCAUGGGGGUGUCCCCAUAUGUCCCCAUGGUGGUGUCCCCAUAACCCCCACCUGUCCCCAUGGUGAUGUCUCCAUAUGUCCCCAUGGUGGUGUCCCCUUAUUUCCCCAUAUGCCCCCAUAUGUCCCCAUGGUGGUGUCCCCAUAUGCCCCCAUGGUGAUGUCCCCACCUGUCCCCAUGGUGAUGCCCCCAUAUGUCCCCAUGGUUACGUCCCCAUAUGUCCCCCACCUGCCCCCAUGGUGAUGUCCCCCUUCCCCCCUGCCCCCUUCGUCCCCCACCUGUCCCAU